CCCCGUCUGUCUUUCCUUUGAAUUUGUCAGUAAUCUGUUUGUACCUGAAGAGCAACAGGAUCAGCACAGCAACCGCCAGCACCACCAGAGAAAGGCUGUAGCCGACGGUGUAUAUCAGCCUCACAGUGGCAAAGGUCUCUCAUUCCCCGGUCUGACCUCUGUGUCGCCCUUGACCUGCGACUCUCACCUCGGGAAUGUCAUCAUCCACGCUGCAGGCGAUGUGGUACGGUGGGAAGGGCCGGGACCAACCUCCGGCGGUGCAGUUGCGGCUCACUGCACCUGAGGUGAAAGGUGAAGACAUCAAGAAUUCAACUCAGCCAUAAAGAGAGGCACCUUUACCUCUGGCUGGUGAGGUUUGCAUUUGGGAUUUAUUCAUGAAAUAUCUCAACAACUAUUGAUGAGCUGCCAAGAAAUUCUCUUCAGACAUGGAUGGCCCCCAGAGCAUUGAUCCUGCUGACAUUUCAUCCACCGAUGAACUUCAGUGACUUGAACUAUUCAUCUAUCACCUUCGACCUUCGACCUUCACCUGUGUUGUUUCUGAAGAGGGAUAGGACUGCAGGACAACCUCUGUGGACCGUGUCUCCAAUGCCUGCGUGAGGCCAACAAACGACUGCAUCCCAAAAUGCCCGACAACCUUUUCGGAAGAAGUUUAGGAGGAGAGUGAAGAUGAAGUAACAGUAAAUCACUCACAGUUGGAGCCAAACACAGAGUGAGAAACAUCCAGGACAUGAUGAAGGUGCAGUGUCCUCCGCUCACUCCAGCGUGGCGCUUUCCUCAACGACACUGCAUCACUAUCACCCUCCGGCAGGACGGGAUGCUCAG